rnacentral:rRNA from 1 species
AUUGAACGCUGGCGGCAUGCUUUACACAUGCAAGUCGAACGGUAACAGGGAGCUUGCUCCGCUGACGAGUGGCGAACGGGUGAGUAAUGCGUCGGAACGUGCCGAGUAGUGGGGGAUAACGCAGCGAAAGUUGUGCUAAUACCGCAUACGUACUGAGGUAGAAAGUGGGGGACCUUCUGGCCUUACGCUAUUCGAGCGGCCGACGUCUGAUUAGCUAGUAGGUGAGGUAAAGGCUCACCUAGGCGACGAUCAGUAGCGGGUCUGAGAGGAUGAUCCGCCACACUGGGACUGAGACACGGCCCAGACUCCUACGGGAGGCAGCAGUGGGGAAUUUUGGACAAUGGGCGAAAGCCUGAUCCAGCCAUGCCGCGUGUCUGAAGAAGGCCUUCGGGUUGUAAAGGACUUUUGUCGGGGAGGAAAUCCCCAGCGCUAAUACCGCUGGGGGAUGACAGUACCUGAAGAAUAAGCACCGGCUAACUACGUGCCAGCCGCCGCCGUAACAC